AAAAAUAUUUGGUCUCGUGCCAAAUUUACACCUGUGUGCACCAUUGUCUGUAUUUGGUAGCUCGAGCGCGCUCCGGAAGCUCAACACUUCCAUUAGGGGCGCCUACCCUUGCGGGUCACAUCCCGCUUGGGUUGGGCUACCGCCUUUUUUUUGAAAAACCUUUUUUGGUUUGUCUUUUUGUCUGAACGAAGAGUUGAUCUUAAUUGAUUAAUGAUUUGAAAA
rnacentral:misc_RNA from 1 species